rnacentral:rRNA from 1 species
UACGAAGGGGGCGAGCGUUGUUCGGAAUUACUGGGCGUAAAGGGCGCGCAGGCGGCUCUGAAAGUCAGAUGUGAAAGCCCCGGGCUUAACCUGGGAAGUGCUUUUGAUACUGCAGAGCUUGAAUGUGGGAGAGGGUGGUGGAAUCCAGGUGUAGUGGUGAAAUACGUAGAUAUCUGGAGGAACACCGGUGGCGAAGGCGGCUACCUGGCCCAACAUUGACGCUGAGACCCGAAGCAUGGG